rnacentral:tRNA from 1 species
GCCGCCGUAGCUCAGCCGGCAGAGCGCCGGCCUCGUAAGCCGGUGGUCGCGGGUUCAAGUCCCGCCGGCGGCUCCA